UAGGAAAUGGUAUAAUAGGGAGUACGGAGGGUUUUGAUCUCUCAGGUACAGGUUCAAAUCCUGUUUUUCUAG
rnacentral:tRNA from 1 species